rnacentral:rRNA from 1 species
UACAGAGACUGCAAGCGUUAUUCGGAUUCACUGGGCGUAAAGGGUGCGCAGGCGGCCGAGUGUGUGAGGCGUGAAAGCCCGGGGCUUAACCCCGGAAUUGCACCUCAAACUACACGGCUAGAGCAUUGGAGAGGGUAGCAGAAUUCAUGGUGUAGCAGUGAAAUGCGUAGAUAUCAUGAGGAAUACCAGAGGCGAAGGCGGCG